rnacentral:tRNA from 1 species
GCCUUCGUGGUGUAGUGGUCAACACACUCGACGCUUAUUCCGAGAGAUCCGUCGUUCGAGUCCUGGCGAGGGCA